UGCAUAGGAAUCUACCUAGUAGUAUAGGAUAGCCACUAGAAGUGGUGGGUAAUACUGUAUAAUCCCUGCGGGGGAAAGAUUUAUCGCUACAUGAUGAGCCUAUGUUAGAUUAGCUAGUUGGUGGGGUAAUGGCCUACCAAGGCAGUGAUCUAUAGCUGGUCUGAGAGGAUGAUCAGCCACACUGGAACUGAGACACGGUCCAGACUCCUACGGGAGGCAGCAGUGGGGAAUAUUGGACAAUGGGCGCAAGCCUGAUCCAGCUAUGCCGCGUGAGUGAGGAAGGCCUUAGGGUUGUAAAACUCUUUCGGUCCCGAAGAUAAUGACGGUACCCACAGAAGAAGUCCCGGCAAACUCCGUGCCAGCAGCCGCGGUAAUACGGAGGGGGCAAGCGUUGUUCGGAAUUAUUGGGCGUAAAGGGCAUGUAGGUGGUUUGGUUAGUUAAAGGUGAAAUGCCAGGGCUUAACCCUGGAGCUGCUUUUAAUACUGCCAGACUGGAGUCCGGGAGAGGAUAGCGGAAUUCCUAG
rnacentral:rRNA from 1 species